rnacentral:rRNA from 1 species
UUAAGCGACUAAGCGUACACGGUGGAUGCCCUGGCAGUCAGAGGCGAUGAAGGACGUGCUAAUCUGCGAUAAGCGUCGGUAAGGUGAUAUGAACCGUUAUAACCGGCGAUUUCCGAAUGGGGAAACCCAGUGUGAUUCGUCACACUAUCAUUAACUGAAUCCAUAGGUUAAUGAGGCGAACCGGGGGAACUGAAACAUCUAAGUACCCCGAGGAAAAGAAAUCAACCGAGAUUCCCCCAGUAGCGGCGAGCGAACGGGGAGCAGCCCAGAGCCUGAAUCAGUGUGUGUGUUAGUGGAAGCGUCUGGAAAGGCGCGCGAUACAGGGUGACAGCCCCGUACACAAAAAUGCACAUGCUGUGAGCUCGAUGAGUAGGGCGGGACACGUGGUAUCCUGUCUGAAUAUGGGGGGACCAUCCUCCAAGGCUAAAUACUCCUGACUGACCGAUAGUGAACCAGUACCGUGAGGGAAAGGCGAAAAGAACCCCGGCGAGGGGAGUGAAAAAGAACCUGAAACCGUGUACGUACAAGCAGUGGGAGCACAGAGCAAUCUGUGUGACUGCGUACCUUUUGUAUAAUGGGUCAGCGACUUAUAUUCUGUAGCAAGGUUAACCGAAUAGGGGAGCCGAAGGGAAACCGAGUCUUAACUGGGCGUUAAGUUGCAGGGUAUAGACCCGAAACCCGGUGAUCUAGCCAUGGGCAGGUUGAAGGUUGGGUAACACUAACUGGAGGACCGAACCGACUAAUGUUGAAAAAUUAGCGGAUGACUUGUGGCUGGGGGUGAAAGGCCAAUCAAACCGGGAGAUAGCUGGUUCUCCCCGAAAGCUAUUUAGGUAGCGCCUCGUGAAUUCAUCUCCGGGGGUAGAGCACUGUUUCGGCAAGGGGGUCAUCCCGACUUACCAACCCGAUGCAAACUGCGAAUACCGGAGAAUGUUAUCACGGGAGACACACGGCGGGUGCUAACGUCCGUCGUGAAGAGGGAAACAACCCAGACCGCCAGCUAAGGUCCCAAAGUCAUGGUUAAGUGGGAAACGAUGUGGGAAGGCCCAGACAGCCAGGAUGUUGGCUUAGAAGCAGCCAUCAUUUAAAGAAAGCGUAAUAGCUCACUGGUCGAGUCGGCCUGCGCGGAAGAUGUAACGGGGCUAAACCAUGCACCGAAGCUGCGGCAGCGACGCUUAUGCGUUGUUGGGUAGGGGAGCGUUCUGUAAGCCUGUGAAGGUGUGCUGUGAGGCAUGCUGGAGGUAUCAGAAGUGCGAAUGCUGACAUAAGUAACGAUAAAGCGGGUGAAAAGCCCGCUCGCCGGAAGACCAAGGGUUCCUGUCCAACGUUAAUCGGGGCAGGGUGAGUCGACCCCUAAGGCGAGGCCGAAAGGCGUAGUCGAUGGGAAACAGGUUAAUAUUCCUGUACUUGGUGUUACUGCGAAGGGGGGACGGAGAAGGCUAUGUUGGCCGGGCGACGGUUGUCCCGGUUUAAGCGUGUAGGCUGGUUUUCCAGGCAAAUCCGGAAAAUCAAGGCUGAGGCGUGAUGACGAGGCACUACGGUGCUGAAGCAACAAAUGCCCUGCUUCCAGGAAAAGCCUCUAAGCAUCAGGUAACAUCAAAUCGUACCCCAAACCGACACAGGUGGUCAGGUAGAGAAUACCAAGGCGCUUGAGAGAACUCGGGUGAAGGAACUAGGCAAAAUGGUGCCGUAACUUCGGGAGAAGGCACGCUGAUAUGUAGGUGAAGUCCCUCGCGGAUGGAGCUGAAAUCAGUCGAAGAUACCAGCUGGCUGCAACUGUUUAUUAAAAACACAGCACUGUGCAAACACGAAAGUGGACGUAUACGGUGUGACGCCUGCCCGGUGCCGGAAGGUUAAUUGAUGGGGUCAGCGCAAGCGAAGCUCUUGAUCGAAGCCCCGGUAAACGGCGGCCGUAACUAUAACGGUCCUAAGGUAGCGAAAUUCCUUGUCGGGUAAGUUCCGACCUGCACGAAUGGCGUAAUGAUGGCCAGGCUGUCUCCACCCGAGACUCAGUGAAAUUGAACUCGCUGUGAAGAUGCAGUGUACCCGCGGCAAGACGGAAAGACCCCGUGAACCUUUACUAUAGCUUGACACUGAACAUUGAGCCUUGAUGUGUAGGAUAGGUGGGAGGCUUUGAAGUGUGGACGCCAGUCUGCAUGGAGCCGACCUUGAAAUACCACCCUUUAAUGUUUGAUGUUCUAACGUUGACCCGUAAUCCGGGUUGCGGACAGUGUCUGGUGGGUAGUUUGACUGGGGCGGUCUCCUCCUAAAGAGUAACGGAGGAGCACGAAGGUUGGCUAAUCCUGGUCGGACAUCAGGAGGUUAGUGCAAUGGCAUAAGCCAGCUUGACUGCGAGCGUGACGGCGCGAGCAGGUGCGAAAGCAGGUCAUAGUGAUCCGGUGGUUCUGAAUGGAAGGGCCAUCGCUCAACGGAUAAAAGGUACUCCGGGGAUAACAGGCUGAUACCGCCCAAGAGUUCAUAUCGACGGCGGUGUUUGGCACCUCGAUGUCGGCUCAUCACAUCCUGGGGCUGAAGUAGGUCCCAAGGGUAUGGCUGUUCGCCAUUUAAAGUGGUACGCGAGCUGGGUUUAGAACGUCGUGAGACAGUUCGGUCCCUAUCUGCCGUGGGCGCUGGAGAAUUGAGGGGGGCUGCUCCUAGUACGAGAGGACCGGAGUGGACGCAUCACUGGUGUUCGGGUUGUCAUGCCAAUGGCACUGCCCGGUAGCUAAAUGCGGAAGAGAUAAGUGCUGAAAGCAUCUAAGCACGAAACUUGCCCCGAGAUGAGUUCUCCCUGACUCCUUGAGAGUCCUGAAGGAACGUUGAAGACGACGACGUUGAUAGGCCGGGUGUGUAAGCGCAGCGAUGCGUUGAGCUAACCGGUACUAAUGAACCGUGAGGCUUAACCU